AGCUUUGCGGAGUGGCAGCAUUAUAGCCAAUGAGGUUUAUCCGAGGCACAAUUAUUGCUAAUUCGAAAUUACACAGCCAGUAGGAAUCAAAGAUUAGACCCAAGGUUUAUAUGAUAUCAGUUCAUGAACACUUAACCACAAC